rnacentral:miRNA from 1 species
CCCAGAAGACAGAACAGCAAGAGGGAUUGUUUCUUUCACUGCACAAUGAUCCCUCUUGCUGUUCUGGCUUCUGGG